rnacentral:pre_miRNA from 1 species
AAGCGCUUCCUGCUCUACCCACUUGGCCGCCACGUGGCGGCCGGCUGAGGACCUCGGGGCAACGC